AACUGGAAAAGCUCUUUCUUAAUUUUUAUUUUUAAAUUUACUUUUUAGUAAGAAGGCUAAAAUGUGUCUUUUAGACAAGAAGACCCUAUAAAGCUUCACAUAAAAUAAUUUAAUAAAUUAAACAUAUGUUUAACUGGGGCGGUGGAAGAAAAAACAUCUUCAAACUCUAUAAAUAGAAAAAUUUUUAUACCCAAAACUUUUGAAGAUUAAAUAAGUUACUUUAGGGAUAACAGCGUAAUAUAUUUUGAAAGCUCAAAUUGACAAAUAUGUUUGCGACCUCGAUGUUGGAUUAAUUUUCCUUUAUUGUGCAAAAGCAUUAAUAGGAGGUCUGUUCGACCUUUAAAAAGUUCCA
rnacentral:rRNA from 1 species